rnacentral:rRNA from 1 species
UCCCAGUUCGGAUUGCAGGCUGCAACCCGCCUGUAUGAAGUUGGAAUCGCUAGUAAUCGCGGAUCAGCAUGCCGCGGUGAAUACGUUCCCGGGCCUUGUACACACCGCCCGUCACACCAUGAGAGUCGGGGACACCCGAAGUCCGUAGCCUAACUUAUCUGAGAGGGCGCGGCCGAAGGUGGGUUCGAUAAUUGGGGUGAAGUCGUAACAAGGUACC